CCCUUAGAUGUUCUGGGCCGCACGCGCGCUACACUGAUGCAUUCAACGAGUCUAAAGCCUGCUCUGAUAGGGGUGGGUAAUCUUUUGAAUGUGCAUCGUGAUUGGGAUAGAUGAUUGCAAUUUUUCAUCUUCAACGAGGAAUGCCUAGUAAACGCAAGUCAUCAGCUUGCAUUGAUUACGUCCCUGCCCUUUGUAUACGCCGCCCGUCGCUCCUACCGAUUGAAUGAUCCGAUGAAUAUCAUGGAUUGAGGAUGCAAGUAGGUUCGCCUAUCUUCAUCUACGAGAAGUGAAGUAAAUCUUAUCAUUUAGAGGAAGGAGAAGUCGUAACA
rnacentral:rRNA from 1 species